ensembl:lncRNA
GACGGUCCUUAAAUGUUCCACUUAAAAAACUAUAAAACCCCACAUGGUGAGAAACAUCAUUAUAUUACAUAUUAUUUACAUACUUUUACACUUCUAUUCCAAGCCUUUACUAUAUGAUGGGCUGCUCUUAACUUGCAGAGUGUUUCAUUGUAGGAAUGCAGACCACUUUGAGAUUUUUGUGCAUUAUUAUUAUUGUUUUUUGCCUGUAAUUUCACAACAUGAAAGUUUGGUAUUCCUGCAAGAGUUUAUACUCACCAAAUACCUGGCAAUACUUGACAAAUCAAGUGACUUUACAGUAUGUGAUCUACAUCAUAUAAUAGUGAGUUGUUUUAUAUCUUUGUGCUUUUUUCUUUGUGUCUUUCUAAGUUUUGUCAUCAGCCAUUUCUUUUUAUAUUUAGUCUUUUUGUUCUGCUCUGUGUGUAAUCAUGGGGGCUGGGAGGUCACAGGGUAAUAUUAAUCAGUGGUUCCUUGGUCUUAAGUCUAAUCUGUUCAAAGGCUUGCUGAGGUGAAACAUGCCAUUCUCUCUGCUGUAAUGGAGCUAAUCAAUGUCUCGUGACAGAUCAUUAAAAGGCUUUUCAAACGCUAAAACACCCUGGUUGAUCUCUCUACUUUGUAAAAAUUCACUCUAUCACACAUGAUGCAUGUGUGAAUAUGUGUUUGUGCUGCUAGCCUAUCAGGACGCUUAUCUCCUGUAUUUGAUCAGCGCUCUUGACCAUUGUGCUCCCAAUCUUGCUGUUUGUUUUUUCUUUUUUUUGCGUAGUAUGUUUUUGGGACGUCAGACAUUGCGUCAUGUGGAGUUGUGUGAGCAAACUGUGCACAACCGCUAAUACCUCCCCACAGACAACAUCUAGAGCCCCUCGCAGCUCUUUAUUGCAAAAACACGCAGGAAUGAGUUUGAAAAUGUCUCUGUUAGUUUUGUAAGAUACAGCUAGAUCUCUGUAGGUUUGUACUUGCUGAUUUGAGAGUCACGUGAUCUCCUUUAGUGUCACAGGAAAGCACUUUAUUGCAAGCAUGUGUGUGGAUAAUUUCUCACAACUUGAAUUUGGUUCACUAUAAUGAACUUGUGAAAGCUGGAUGCGGUUCCACUUGUAAAUGUUGCUUUUGAGAUUGUCUGCGAAUGUGUUUCAAGAUGUUAGUGCACUCCAUGUGGCGUCAAGAUGAACGUCGUGUGCACCUGUGAAUAAAUAUCUAUAUUCAUCUAAAAUAUUUAAAGAAAGUUAUGUAUUUAAGUUAUAUUUGUAUGUUAAUAUCUGUAUGUCACCAAAGACUAUUUAUCUCAUUUUUCCUGCUCUUUACACACAGUAGGAGAGAAAGUCUUAACUGUAGUUCAAAUGUUACUGUUUGACAAUGUCCUUCAUCCUGUAAAAUAAAGACCUAUACUGUAG